UACGUAGGUGGCAAGCGUUGUCCGGAAUUAUUGGGCGUAAAGCGCGCGCAGGCGGUCCUUUAAGUCUGAUGUGAAAGCCCACGGCUCAACCGUGGAGGGUCAUUGGAAACUGGGGACUUGAGUGCAGAAGAGAAGAGUGGAAUUCCACGUGUAGCGGUGAAAUGCGUAGAGAUGUGGAGGAACACCAGUGGCGAAGGCGACUCUUUGGUCUGUAACUGACGCUGAGGCGCGAAAGCGUGGGGAGCAAACAGG
rnacentral:rRNA from 1 species